CAGCAGCACAUACACACAGCCCUGAUUCUUCAUUCCAUGAAGCUUUCUCUGAGGCUCACAGCCCUUGCAUCCUGGCUGACCACAGGCAGCUCUGGUGAUUUCAUUAGUCCAUCUUUCCAUGGUGGUUACAUACUCAAAGUAGAUGGAGUUGUCCUAUAGCUUGUUUAUCAACUUUCAAAUCCAUUUUAAUGUUUUAAAUCCUUUAAUGUUACUCUGGCUUUUUAAUAAACUCUAUGAGGACAAACUUUUUUGUCUCUUCAUGGAGCUUAAGGGAUUUCUCAGCCCAUGUUGACCGAUAAAUGAUGUAUGUGCAAGGCAGAUGCAGUCAUGUGUUCAGAUUUGUGGUCAGCCUGGACAGGUGGAUGGUGAUCACCUUCCUGAUUUUAUGAGUGUAGCAACUUGGAAACUUGUGUUAUAUUUUCCAUUCCUUUUCAGAUAGGAAAAUGAAGGCCAAGUGAAUGUCACAUAUCAAUCAUUGCUACCUGUCAGCCCUCUGAAGUUAGUCUGUGGAAGUGAUAUGCAUGAGACUCGGCACUUAUUGUGAAAUCUUAACAGAUUUUCAUCCUUCACAGUUAUGGCCUGAGUAUGGAAGUUUUGUUGAUUGGGGUUAGUGAACAUGGAAGUUAUCAUAUCGUUUAGAUAAUUUCUAUUCUAAUUUCUCAAAUUCAACUUAAGAUGUAAACAAAAAUAAAUGCAGGGUUGUUGAAGGUAGCUUUUUUCCUUGCUGGAAAGCUAGAGGAAAGGCACAUAGGAGUCUUUGGGGAUAUCACAACAUGCUUUUUCUAUUACUGAGUAAGGCCACAUGGGACCACACCAUCAACAAAAGACUGUUAAGCAGGGUGAAUGCAUAAAGUGUGGCCAAACUAGCUUGAGAACUGGCAGGGAAAUUCUCAGUCUAUGAGUCAGAGGAACUCCAUUCCAGCUGCUACUCCCUUGGUGCAGAGACCAUUGCUGCCUUCUCCAUGAUGAAAGGUUGUCCUGUAGUGAAGUAGGAGAAGUCAGGUUUCUCUCUCAGCCAUUACAGAACCUCACGUAUGAUGGAAGAAAUGCUGUCAGGCAAAGAACCAUCUAGAGAGCAAAGAUACCAAUACUUAUGUGCUAUGUGACUAUAGGAGAUGUAUUUUUUGAUAAGUCACUUAUAAAACCCAUCAUUAUACUGUGUAAAUACAACCUAAGUAGCCUGAAGAAAAGCAUGAAAUACUUCCCUUUGCUGAUCCAAGUUAAUAGUGUCAGCUUUUUACAUAUGUAGAAUUAACUUGAAAUGAAGCUCAUGUGUAUUUGAAUUCCGUUUUUGUUUUUAAUUGCUAUUCUGUUUCUAGAAAUGUUGUCAUGCGUAUGUCGGGGUACUGUCUGCCUGCAUACUGUAAUGGCCUUAGAAUCCCGGCUCUGCAAAGCAGCUAGCUUAUAUUGUGAAUUUUAUUCCUUUUGUUGAAAAGACAUAAAUAUGAAUAUAUUUAAAAUCUUGAGAAUCUUCUCUGGUACCUUGGAAAAGGAAUUUGCAAGUACUUAUUUGGGAUAAUGUGCCAGCCACUUCUCUACUAGAGCUUUCAAGACAAUUCUGGCCUAUUCAGAGAAAGGGAAUUUAUAUGAGGGAAACUGGAUCUUGUGUCAGGGAAGCAAGGGUAUGGUCACAGUAAGCUAUUCUAAGAAAGCCCUAGAACAGUGGUUCUCAACUCUAUCAUAUACUAGAAACACUUAGGAGAUUUUUUAAAAUCUUGAUACCCAGGCCCCACUCUAGACCCAUCAUCAACAUCUCUUGGGACGGGACCAGGCAUCAGAUUUUUUUUUUUUUUUUUUUUUUUUACUUUCCAGGUAAUUCCAGUGCGGAACCCAGAUUGAUAGCCACUACUGUCUAGCUUAGCUCAGCUCACCUGUUAAUGUGUAUUCAAAGAUUUAUUCUGAGCCUGCUAUGUUAGGCUCUAUGAUAGACACUGAGAGUACUAAGAUUAAUUGUAUACUCCUACAUCCUCUCGCAAGGAGUUUCUUAGUGGGAAAAUGUCUAUGAUUGAAUACAAUCAGCUCCUCUUUAACCAACAGGUGAAGUAAAAUGGACAUUGGGAAUAACAUCAAAUUAUGCUUAAAACAAAACCAGCCAAAACAAGACACAAAAUGAAUUUGAAGGAAAUGUUACCAUUCUGUUUAAAAUUUAAGAAUAUAAAAAUAUAUAUACUAUUGUAGGAAUCUAAAACACUCCCAAUAUCAUAUGGUAGAAAAGUCUACUGUUGAAAUAGCCUGUUACGAUUAUUUCAUUACUUAACUCAUUUUAUCAAAAAAACAAAAAAAGUCUAGAAUGUUGCUGUUCAAUGCGGCAGACACUAGCCACAGGUGGCUUUUGAGCAGCUAUAAUGUCGCUAUUGGAAACAGAGAUGUGUUACUAGGGAAAAACACACACUGGGUUUUGAAGACUCAGCACAAAAAAUGUAUAAAAUAUUUUAUUGUUAAUUUUUUAUACCGAAUGCAUGGUAAAGUGAUAAUAUUUUAGAUCUAUUAUGUUAAAUAAAACAUAAUUAAUAUUAAUUUAUAGGUAAGUUAAUAAAUAUGUUAAUAACCUGACAAAAUAUAUUAGCUAAAUUAUAUUUCUUCUACUUUUUGAAUGUGGCUACUAGAAAAUCUUAAUUAUAUUUGUGGUUCAUAGUAUGUUUCUGUCAGAAAGUGCUAGUCUAGAGGCAUGGUCCAUAGGCUUUCCUCAGUUCAUGCCUACACUGUCUUCUCAUUGUUGCUCAACCUUCUCAGCUUGAAUCUUAAGUUUUUGGAAUGCAGAGUUUUGCAAGCUAGCCCCCUGCCCACUCUGGGCCUGGCCCUUGUUUGGCUCUCAAGUGGGACUGCUAAACCAGAGGAAGUGACAGCAUGACACUUCAUCAGACUAUUACCUCUGCAGUUCUGAAAUGUAUGGUUUAGGGUCUGUGGCUGGGUUUUUGCCAAGUUAUAGUAUAUACAAAUCGAAUAUUUGUAUUCAAUUUGUAUAUGCUAUACAAAUAAAUCAAAUAUUUGUAUAUACUAUAUACAUAGAUAUUAUUACAUAGAUAUUUUACUGAUUCAUAGAAAAUGUAGGGUUUUCCAUUUACCACAAAUAUGCACUAUUCACCAUGGAUAUUCAAAUUUCUAUGACAAUUGUCAUACAGUUUUAGUAUUUCAUCUAAUAUUCAUUUAUUAUAGGAAAUACCAUUAUUACAUGUACUAUAGAGAAAGAAAAAGUGCUGCCACAAGCCACAGCAUUUAGACAAUAAGAUGUUCCCCAAUAUCAGAGGCUCUAAAAUGUGAAAAUUCUAUCACUUUUGGAGUUGAUGUAAUGUGGUACUAUAAUUAGGGACAUAGAAUCAAAGAGGAAGAAUGCCCACCAAUUUUAGGUAAGACUUUCAGCAAAGGAGAUAUUUUGUUCAGACUUGAAAAAGAGCAAAAUCAUAAUGACGACGGUGAUAGUGCUAACAUUUACUGAGUGCUUCUAUCUGCUAGAUACCAUGGGGAACAGAGCACCUUAUUACUUAGUCACCAUGGCAAUCCUUUGAAGUGAGUACUAUUACCACCCUGCUAUACAGAUGAGGAAAUUGAGGAUUAGAAAUUCUCAGCAGACAGGCUACAAAAGGCAUUCCAGGCAGAGGAAAACACUGCAAGUCUCAGAAGGAUGAAAGACAUGAUAUGUUUGGAAAAUGGCAAGUGACUUGGUGUGGCUAGAUCACAAGGCAUAUGAGAAGAACACAUGACUAAAAAGGAGAUAAGAGUCAUAAUAUGACUUGCUGAAGAAUCUGAACUUUGACAGGCAGCAGCUAAUAUUGAAAAAUAAUGUGUACAGGAGUGACAUGAUUAUGUUGGAUUUGUUUGUAUUGUUUUGGCUCAUGCAGUUUUUUGGGGGGGAUGUAUCACUUUGCUUUUCAUUAUUGUGAAGAAAUACAUUAUAACUAACAGUAAUAUCAAACAACAGACAAGUAACAGACUAGUGAAGAACUUGAGCAAAAGCAAUGGCAAAGCUGAGGUAGGAGGGUCACUUGAGGCCAGGACUUUGAAACCAGCCUGGGCAACAAAGUGAAUUCCCAUCUCUAUAAAAAUUAGUUGGAUGGGGUGGUGCCUGUAGUUCCAGCUACUUGGGAGGCUGCAAUGAGAGGCUUGCUUGAGCCUAAGAGUUCAAGGCUACAGUGAGCUAUGACCACACAGCUGUACUUCAGCCUGAGCAACAGAGACAGCACUGUCUCUAAAACAAACAAAGCAAUGGCAGUAAAAAUAAGAAGGAAAGGACAUAUUUCCAAUUAUCCUGUCCUGAAAUGCCUAAAACAGCCUGAUACUGUUUUAGGCAUUUCAGGACAGGAUAAUUGGAUGUACAAAAUGAAACGAAGGAGAACAGCGUAAUUCCUUUUUCUUGCUUGGAUAAUUGGCUGGAUGCUGAUGAGGAAGACUAGAUUUGAGAUGGAAAACAGUAAGGUCAACUUUAGACAUGUUCACUUUGUACAUAUGAGACACAGAGGUAGAGAUGCUGGGCUCAUGGGAGAGAACUAGAUGUGACUCUAAAGGUAGCAGUUCAAGUCAUAGGAAGAAAUGAGAUGACCCAAAGAAAAGGGUGUAGAAUGAGACAAAACCUGAAGUAUCAGAUAUCAUAUAAUAAAUGUAACUGAGGAAAGACACUUCUAUACUUCUAUAGCACAGCGUAUACAGAGUGUUUUGCAAGAAAGCUAAUUCUCUAUUAGAAUUCUUAUCACUCAUCAAAUUUUAAGCAAUUGUGUUCUUUAUGCCUCAGAAGUCACACGCGUUGUGACUCAGGAUUAUUUUUACAUAAGCUGCAAUUCAGCUUUAACGAUCAUGAUGAUUUAAUUUUUCUUUUAUAAAUCAUAUCCUGUUGCCACCCUCAAAUGGAUAUGAUGUGCUUAUCCUUAUGCCUUUUAUCAUUCUUUUCUCAGAAUGCCCUUAUAUGGUGUUAUUUGACAAAACUGUGGCACUUUUUCUUAAUGAAUUUCAUUUUCUGAGCAGAAUUGAAAGUAAUUUUAAUGGCAUACUUGGCAGGGUUGCAAACUCCAUGAUAUCCAUGCCUUUUUUCUUACAUUUUUUUUUCCCCACAGUAAGCUCUUGUUGAAGCUGGUUUAUAGCUCAGUUCGGAAUAACCUUGUGCAGGCAUUUUGUGAGCUCCUACUUUCCCACCCUCAGAUCAAACAUAGUCAUAAUGAUAUGGCCUUCAAAAACGUGAUGCUCACAUUAAAAGUCCCCAUAAACAUGGCAGGGAUCCUAUAAUUAAAAGAAGGUGCAGAGCAACUGAUUAGAUCCCAGGUAUAGAUCUUGUAGGUGGUCUUUCCAUGCUGUUAAAUUGGUCAUUUGUAUUUAUAGCUUAGGCAGGGAGGGCUGGAACCAAAACUGGCUCUAAUCCCAGCACUCUCCUGCACUUGGCCUUAUCUCUUUCUCCAGUAAUAUCACUUGGCAACCAUGAAUGGGGCCAGAUUCUAAAUGAUUCUCCCUGAACCAUUCUAGCCCCAGUCUGUGAAACUAUUUCCUAAGUUUCUUUGACCAGCUAAGAUUAGAGAUAUUCUUAAUAUCAAAAAUUAUUUUUGUUUACCUAUGUAACAAACCUCCACGUGUACCCCCAAACCUAAGAUAAAAGUUAAAAAAUAUCUGUUUUCUAUUAAAAAAGAGAGAAAUUUACCAGGCUUAAAAUAAACAAAAGCAAUAAUUGAUUUUCUACAUUGAAUGCAAAAAGAAUUAUAUAAAUACAUGAGUAGUCCAUGACGGCCAGGACUGUAUCUGUUUUGUCCUGUUCACUUACUUGUCCCAACGUAAUAUAGGCUCAGCCUGUCCCAUGAUAGGCGUUAAUACGUAUUUUUUGAAUUUAUGAACAAACAUCUUAAAUUGUGUAAAGUACCUAGAGGCAUUUUCUCCCCCUCCUUGGGUUUUAUGUUUAAAUCCUUUCAGAACUGCUGAAUUGUCUCAGAAUCUGGAGAGGUACAUUUUUGGUUUAUAAUACAUUUCUGUGGUCAGACCUCCUGGAUAUAGAAUCAUCUUUCUAUGUUGGGCAUAUGUGUAUAAUCUAUUCUUAGUAAAUACUUAAGUCAGAUUAGAUUGACAAAGACCAUACUUAAAUCUCUAAAUUGCAAAAUAAGAGCAGGUUAUUAUGUAAUCUCUUCACUUCAACCCCCAGAAAUGUAGAAACAAAACUAUCUGAAUUACCAUAUUAAGCCACUAAGGUUACAGAGAUAGAAAAGGUCAGUAAUCUGAGCAAUGUAACCUGCGAGAGGAAAUAAUUCUGACAUUCUUUACAAAGCUUGUGGAAAGAAGAAAUAUGGCUGGAGAACAUGCACUCUCCAUGAGCCAGAAUGGGUUCUUGUAUACCCCACUGCUACUCAAGAAAAUACCAACAGGCAUGGUUCCACAGAUCAUCAGAUAGCCAAGAAUUAAGGUCAUCUCUUGUGACUUCCAGAUUACUUAAGUCACAGAGCAGUAAUCCUUGGAAGAUGAAUAAAAGCUAUUUGGCCAGGUGUAGUGGCACACGCCUGUAAUCCCCACACUUUGGGAGGCAGAGUGGGCAGAUCACCUGAGGUCAGGAGUUCGAGACACCUCGCCAAUAUGGUGAAACCCAUCUCUACUCAAAGUACAGAAAUCAGCUGGGCAUGCUGGUGUGCACCUAUAGUCCCAGCUACUCUGCAGGCUGAGACAGGAGAAUCUCUUGAACCUGGGAAGCAGAGGUUUCAGUGAAACGAGAUUAUGCCACUGCAUUCCAGCCUGGGCCACAGAGUAGAACUGUCUCCACAAAGAAAAAAGAAAAAAUUAUUUUAUCAGAGGUCUAUUAAGUAGGCUUUUAUCUGAAAGGGUUAGAGGGUUUUGUUUUUCCAGAAAUUUCUGCAAAGAGCUCAUAUUUUCCUCCAAAGUCAGUUUCUAAUGACCAUCCAGUAAUGGAGCUGUGAAAUUAUGGUAUUUCCAUACAAUGGAAUACUAAACAUCUGGGUUUUUUUUUUUUUUUAGGAAAAAAAGUCGGUAUGUAUUGCCAUGGAAGGAUCCCUAAUAUAUGUAUUUAAGUGAAUAAAAGCAAGUGGUAGAAGAGUAGUUAUGUUAUUAGGUAUAUUAUCUUACCAUUCAGAUAAAGAUGAAGCAAAAAAAUGAACACUGCCUAACAGUGAGAACAAAUAAGAACUAACCUAAGAAUGAUACUCAGCUGGUCCUCACCCACCAUAACACCCAUACAGGUUGUCUGUUCUGCUAGUUAGUGCCUAUGUUAUUGUCAGAUAUUUAGGCUAGUACCCAUAAAGCUAACUAAACAGGUUCAUUGCUGUAGCAGGUAGAAAAUAGAUGAGGUUCAUAAGUAUAUGCAGCUUUUUCAUAAAUGUGGGUGUUUUAACCAAUUAAUACCUCUUAAAAUACUAAUUUUUUUUAAAAAAACAACUUUCUAUAGUACUUUGCACUUCACAUUCCCUGCCCCCCUAAGAUUCUGCUUCCUAUUCAUUGCUUCCCCAUUAUUGUACCAACUAGAGUCCCUUAGCCACCUGAAUCUAGAAUUGGAAACCAAAUGGUCUUACUCACAGCCUCAUUACUUCUGGUGGAUGUUGGACCAGACAGCUUAAAAGGAAAUCUGAUGGUCCCUUAUGGAGCCAGAUCCAUGAGCUAGUACGUUAGUUUCUUUCCUGUGACUCCAUUCUUCAGCUUCGCUCUGGAUAGCUCUAUCCAAUGGAAUCCUCCCAGUCAAUGAGAAAAUGCAAGGAAAUGUUUAAAGGCAUCAAGAGCUCAAGACAGUCCAAUACACACACGUGCACACACACACACGUGUAGGCACACAUGCAUGCAUGUGCGCACACACACACACACAGACGAAUCUGCUGGAGCCCCUCAGUUCUUUCUCCUUGAUUUGGAUUGACUUCACUUAUUUUGCUUAUGGUUCCAUCAUCACUUCAGUUUCAGGCAUCACAUUUUUGUGAUGUUAUUAUUAGGUAAAUAACAUGAACCCUAAUUCACACAAUGGUCAAGAAGAGGCCACUAAUAUGUAGGGUGUUUUACCUAUUCCUCAUCUUUUUUUCCUUGUUGCCAUAAUCCUUUUCUUUAUUUCAUUUAGGCUCUUCAUUACAUGGGUGCUUCAAUCUACACUUUGAUGAACAUAUCAAAGUCAGAGAGUAAAGAUCUUAUCUCAGAUUACCCGACACAGACCAUCCUUUAAACCUAAUCACUAAACCAAAUCUCAGUCAUGUAUAUCUUAGGAUCGUUGUGAGGAUCUGACCUCUUUCAUGGGUUUCAUGCAUUUUAGGCCUUAACUCUAAUUUUUUAAAGACUUUGUCUCCUGUUUUUCUGGAACUCCUGACAAGUGAUCCACCCACCCCGACCUCCCAAAGUGCUGGGAUUACAGGCGUGAGUCACCACCUGGCCUUGUCUCCUGUUUUAAACACUGUCUUAGAACUACAUGCAAGUGGAAGAGAGAAGAUAGUGGUUGGUUUUGAGAUAAGAUAUUACUUGUAAGAUAAGUAUCAUUAACUCAUACAUGGUCUCUGCUAGAGCUGCAGCAGAUAUUUAUACACACAUACUCCUACAUCUUUCCAACCUUAUGGAACCAGAUUAUUUGCUUGCCUUGAUAGAACAGGGGACUGUACCUUAAACUGGUUUUUACAACUUUGAGUAAGCCCCUUAACUGUCUAAGCAUUCAAAUAUUACUAAGGACAACAUCAUGAUGGUGUAUUGGGUAAUCUCUUACUUUCCCUUUCAUCAUGGCAGAAUCCAAGAUAGUUUGAUGAGACUCUAGAGCUGCCAAGAAUAUGAACUAAUUCUUUUUUAUGGAUGCAUAGCAUUCCAUCAUAUAUAUGUACCACAUUUUCUUUAUAUAGUCUAUCAUUGAUGGGCAUUUGGGUUGGUUCCAAGUAUUUGCUAUUGUAAAUAGUGCUGCAGUAAACAUACGUGUGCAUGCAUCUUUAUAGCAGAAUGAUUUAUAUUCCUUUGGGUAUAUACCCAGUAAUAAGAUUGCUGGGUCAAAUGGUAUUUCUGGUUCUAGAUCCUUGAGGAAUCACCACACUGCCUUCCACAAUGGUUGAACUAAUUUACAUUCCCACUAACAGUGUAAAAGCAUUUCUAUUUCUCCAGAGUCUUGUCAGCAUUUGUUGUUUCUUGACUUUUAUUUAAUAAUCGCCAUUCUGACUGGUGUGAGAUGGUAUCUCAUUUUGGUUUUGAUUUGCAUUUCUCUAAUCAUCGGUGAUGUUGAACUUUUUUCAUGUUUGUUGGCUGCAUAAAUAUCUUCUUUUGAGAAUUAUCUGUUCAUAUCCUUUGCACACUUUUUGAUGGGGUUGUUUCUUGUAAAUUUGUUUAAGUUCUUUGUAGAUUCUGAAUAUUAGGCCUUUGUCAUAUGGGUAGAUUGCAAAAAUAUUCUCCAAUUCUGUAGGUUGCCUAUUCACUCUGAUGCUAGUUUUUUUGCUAUGUAGUAGCUCUUUAGUUUAAUUAGAUUAAGCAAUGCUUUUUGUCUACAUCCAUACAACUUUUAUUAUUUUAGUAAGAAUACUUAGCAUGAAUUCUACCCUCUUAAAUUCUUAAGUAUGUAAUACAGUGUUAUAAUAAUAGGCACAAUAAAAUGUUAUGUUUUUAAGUGUUCUGAAUGUAGUAAGAGAGCAUUGUGCUUGAAGUUAGAAGACCUAGGUUUGAACACUGGAUUGACCACCUAACCUUUCUGUUUGAUUUUGUAAAGGAUUUUAAAUUUCUUGGAAAUUUUGUAAAGGAUUUUAAAUUUCUUGUCUGUAAAAUGGGAAUAGUAAUAUCUAGUACACAGUGUCACUAUGAAGAUGAAAUUAGGUAACACACAUAGGAAACCACCAUAUAGACUAUAAAGCUUUAAUAAAUACAAUAUGUUAUGUUUAAGGCAUUCUUAUUAUCCCACUUUGACCCUCUGUGAAAAACACUAAUGUAUUGAAAAUUUCCCUGCUGAAUUUUUAGUUCUGGUGCGUGUGGGCGGGGGGCUUGGGGGGUGUGCUACUUGACUGCAAUAGGUGCAUGGUACUUCAUUUAACUUUUGCUGCAAUCCUUUGAAACUGAGUUUUUCAUUCCUAACUUCAGGAUAAGAAAACUUAGUCUGAGGGUCUCGGUAACUUACUCAAGGUCGUGUGAGCUCAAUCCCAGUGUUGUUACUGUGCCACACUACUGACUUAGAGAACCACUUAGUUUCUCUGAGUCCCGUGACCCUAUGGGUAAACAAACAGAAAUAAGCAUUUUUGUUUCAUCAUCUAUAAAAGAAAAGUAUCGGAAUAGCAGAUUUGCCUUAACUUGAGUAAUACCUUGACCUCAGAGAUUCCUUUUCUGAGGUCUUAAUAGAGAUCCUCUUUUACAUUUCCCAACAAUAACAAAGUUUCCAUUGUAAUUAGUAAGGAACUGCAGUGACAAGUAUUUAAGUAUUUUAUGGAAUCAGUAUUGAGCUCUGCAUCUUGCAUAAUUGUUGUUUUUAUAAUAAAUUGUUUCAUGUAAUUAUUGGUCUAGCCACCACUUUCUCUGGAUUCUUGACAACUCUGGCAAUGUUUUCUAUCAGUGAUUGAUCAAAGAUGCUGUCACAUGACUUCUCUUUGACUUAUACAGUUACUGUAUUCUUCAUAAUAGAAGAACUUAACACCUGUAUUGCCUUCUGGGAAUUAUUGUGCAAAAUACAUGUUAUAUAAUGCAUAGUUUUGUAGACAGUGUCCAAUUUGGGAAAAAUCUUUUCAUUCUUUCAAAUAAUACAGGUCUGUUUCUUCUGCUGAGUUCAUUUGGCCUUAAAGGAAUUGUGACAGCUCUAGCAGGAAACCAGGACUAAUGUGUGUGGAGCAGUUAGCACAGAACCUGGCACUAUGUAUAUCAGCCGCUCCUGCUGUUAUGUCAUUUUGUCAAAUCUUAUCAGAUGGUUCAGAUACUGUGUCUCAGAAAGUUAAUUACAGAAGUUUUACUUACCCAGGGGUGUGCAAAUAGCUGUGGUUCCAAGUUCAAGUGGUAGAUAAUUAUUUACUAUAGAGGAAGGUCUUAACUAUUAGAAAGAAACUUAUGUGCAUCUUUUUCAUCUCCUCUAAAAAUAAGCCACAGCAAUGAAUGAAUAUAAGCUGGGUUUCUCUAGGACAUGACACUUUCUGUUAUGAGUAUACUUUGAAGAUAAUCAUAUAUGUAAUUAGAGUAAAAGUAGAAUUAGCAUAAGUUUACAAGUUACCAGAUAUGCAUGGAGCUUUUAUAUAGGAUUAUAUUUUUCACAAUUAAAAUAUUUUAACCAUUUUAAGGUAUAAUUAUAAGGUAUAAUUUCAAGAUAUAAUUAUAAUUUUUAUAGUUACAUCCUAAUCAUAUAAGGGAUGUACAUAAUUCCAUCUAAGAGGGCAGUUCUGAUAGAUCACCCCUCAUGGCUACCAGAAUCAACAAUAUUACCACCUAGUGGCUGUUGAAUUGAACUGCAAACACGUGAUCCUUGGGAUCCACAAAGACCUGGUCUCAGCAGCUAAAAUGAUGGAAAAUGAUAGUAAAUGCCCCUAUAAUGAACAACUUUAAUGGGCCUUGAUAACUGUUAAUCACUGUAACACUCCAACUCUGCUUUCAAACAGAUUGGGAGAAUAAUGAGAAUUUGCUUUUCCAGUUGAGAAAUGGCCUUUAAAAAGUUGUAACCUGAGGCUAGAGAAUGUGAUUAUUUGAUUGCGUGAUGGUUUUAUUAAUUUUCUGAAGUGAGAAGAAAUAGAUCUACCUUCCCUCCCAGUUUUUGUAUUUAAAUUUUCAAUUACUUAGAACAUUUUUUAGUGAAAAUUAAAAAUAUGUAUUUGAGUAGAUCAGAACUGUUUUAAACAAAGAUAAACUGGUUUUCUCAUUAUAGGAAAUAUGUGACGUUAGUUCAUGUGCUUUUAUAAAUUUAGCAGGGCCUGGGUGCUCAACUUCUAGAAGUGAAGUGCCAGUCCAGAUAGCUCAUCUCAGAGUCAGGCAUCAAGACCUUUACUAUUUACCACUUCCCCUUUCAUCUUAGCAUCCACCAACUUGUUGACAUGCAACUUAUUCAUUGAAAUAACCAAACCAUCUGCCCACUGAGCUCAUUGCACCAUCCCAUUUCCUUGCUGAAAUAAAAUGUGGCAUGAGUAAUUGUAAUAUAGCAAUUCUAGGGGAGCAUAAUAUAUUCAAGUAGGUAAUGUGGAAAGCCACUAAAGAGUCUAUUUGAAAUUGCUCUUCUUCCCAGGAGGGCACUUUUCUCUCUUUAAUAUAUUCCCUUUGGCUUCAUAAUUCUAGGAUUAAGCCUAAUUGCUAACAUAAUAUAUGUGCGUGAUCGUCUGCUUUCUUUAGCUUAAGCUUCCUCUGGCAUUGGUUUCUAGCUUGUAGUCAUGAUUGUGGCAUUAACUGUAAUUGGUCUGAGCUUCAUGUGGUGAAAUAGGUUCCAGCGCAUUGACAGCAAUUAAUGGAGCUAGAUAGUCCUGGAUAAGAUUCAAGGGGUGGGUUUUGCAUCUCUUUCAAAUUGUUUUCUCAUUGUUUCUGUUGUAAUCUCCUGGGAGACUAUAAUAAACAAAGAUUGGCUUUAGAAUUGCACAAACCCCAGUUCAAAUCUCUCCCCUAUCCUUCUGAGCUUGGGAAACUUAAUUUCUCAAAAAAAAAAAAAAAAAAAAAAAAAAGGCUGAGGUUCCCUCAUCUCAAACACAGAGAUAGUAAUACCACUACCAUAAGGUUACUGUGGCCAUCAAACUUGCUAAAAAAAUGUCAGCCAGUUGACUAUGGGUCUGUCUUUCAUACUAGUUCAGAUAAAUUUUUUUCAAAUUGUUACGUUUUAUUAGUUUAGGGCUUUCUAUGUUCUAGGCACUGUGCUGCAUGUUAUGAAUACAAUGAUGAGCAAAAUGAACACAGUCUCUGCCUCUGGAAUGUACAUUUAUUAUAGCCGAUUGGCAAUAGGAAUCCACAAUGCAUAACCAACCACCUCAAAACUUAGUAGCUUAAAGCAAUAUAUGCCUGUCUCAGUUCAAUGAGUUGACUAGACUUAACUGGCUAGUUCUUGCUUCAGGUCUCUUGUGAGGUUGGAGUUAGAUUAUGGCUGAAAUUGAAAUCAUCUGUAGGCUGCAGAUUGUCAGCUUGGGUAGAUGGAGGGUGGGACUUGGCUGAGCAUCUCUGAGAGCCCAUGCAAUCACUCCACACAGCUUGUGCUUUCUCAUAGCAUGGCGGUGUCACAAUAGUUAGCUUUCUUACAUAGUUACUGGCUUUUUCCUAAGCAAAUGUUCUAAGAAAAAGAAAUUCGAAAUUGCCUAUUCUCAAACACUGGGGAUGAAACAUCAUGUCACUGUUGUUCAAAGAAGUCACAAUCCAGCCCAGUUUUAAGGGAGUCAAGCAAUAGAUACCACCUCUCAAUUAGAGAACGGCACAAACAUACAGGGAAGGAAAGAACUGAUGAUGGACGUCUUAGAGUCUAGCUACUGUGAUGUAUAAUUGAUCGUUCCUCAGAUUGGUAUCUGCUGAUAUCUGGACUCUUAACUAGUAGGCUCUGGCUUUUACUUGGCUUAGUCCAUCAAGAUUCAUUAAACUGACCACUUGUGCUUGCCCUAGGAAAAUGGAUAGGUAUAAUCUCUAAGGGUCAGAUAAAUAGCAAAAUACCAAUCUGUUCUGGUUCUCAUAACUUCUUCAGGACGGAUGGUAUUUCCAGGGAAUGGGAUUUUCUCACUCUCCUUAAUCACUCUGUGUGUUAUUACAUAGGAGGAAAUAUACAGCUUCAUAAAUACUAGCCUCACAAACUCAGUUCAAAAUGUGAUUCGCAUGUUACAUGCUUACUUUAGUGCACAAGAACCAUCACCUCAGCCAGAAUAUAUUUCAUAGGACUUAAUAUGAAGUCCCAUUUGCUGCAGUUUGCGAUUGCGCUUCUUCUGAGAUGGAGUGAUGGAAUGUGUAGAAAUAGUUAAAAGUCAUUUCUAAAUCACAUUGAAAAUAUUUUUUUUCAACUAGUUUAUGUACCAACAUUAUGUUCCCAAAAAUAUAGAUAAGAAACCAGAAUCUGAAAUUUAUGUUAAAGUUCAUGGGUUUUGAUUACAUGUUGCAGGUGGAUCAGUUUGAAAUACAAGCCUUACUUUAAAAUAAGUAAUGAAAUGAUUCCCAUGGAUCUAUGAGACUUCUCCAGGGACAUACUACAUAUACUCUGAGAUUAAAAUACUAUGUGUUUUGUCUCUAUGUAUUUUUCAAACAUACUAAAUGGACAACAUCCAAGAGGCAUCAAAGAAGGAAUAAGCUAGAAAAGUAGCCUACAUUGUUUCCCACGAACUGUGAUGAUCCAAUCCAAGAUCAAUGAGCUGUCAGGGAAAAGAGGGAGAAGUUCCCAGCAAAAAUGUCUCAAGUAAUAGUGAAAGGGAUCAAGAAAACCACUGGCUGGAUAAACUGUGAUAGAUGUCGGUGAUUUGUUUUUUUAAAUGUUUCUGCAUGGAAGUCCCUUUCUGUAUAAUACACACCUUUUGUACUGUGUGACACUCCUGUGUCUAUCUUCCAAACACUGGGGAGGGUGGAGCGAGCAACUCUCUUCUUUAAACAAUAAUUUCUCCCAAUUUAGAAAUGUAACCAGUGUGUGCACAUUUUCUUUUUGGUAUUUCAGUUGUUCACAGUUACAGUCCACUCAAUGUUCUGUAUGACUGGGGCAUGGUGACCCAUUGGCACAGCUUUCUCUCAUGUUUGUACCAUUUCCAUACCCUUCCCUCCCUCCUGGACACCUGUGCUAAUCAUCCAAGGACUGCCUCCUGCCCACAUGACUGCCUGUACCCAUCUUUGCCUCCUUGGCACUGAAUGAAAUAGCCAAGCUUCUGAGAUCCCUGGUACUUGUCUGUGUGUGGAAUCCCACAUGCCCUAAAAUGCCUUUCACACUGUUUUUUGAAGCAAAGUGAUUUUGGUCAUUUGUAUGCUGUUAUAUGCAGACAUAAGAGGUUUUAGCCAUGCUGUUGGGUCCUCGGUAGUAUCUUGAAUGUGCUGAUAACAGAUGAUUACAAUCCUCUCAGUAGUGAUAUGGGAAAAAACAGAGCUGCCUGCAGCUAGAUAUUCAAAUAAUAUCAUAUUGUGGCUCCUCCAGAGAAUAAGGUCAUCCUGGAGGUGACUUAGUUCUCAGUUCUCUCCAAAAAACAGCCAUUUCUUCCUCCAGCUUUCUCUGCCCUCUCCCCACCACAGUCCCUUCAGUCUGAUUAAAUCUGAGCCAAACAGUUGCUCACUAAGGGCUAAAACACAGCAAUGACAAGAGGAGGCCAGGUUAAUGGGUGAGCAGUGCCCUAGAGCAGGGCUGAGUUUCACCCACAGACCUUAAGCUGCCCCCACCUCAUUCUGCUUUGGAUUCCAGGGCUCCAGUUCUCCCAGGGAGGAGUCAUAACUUCUUGGAAUUGUUCAACAAUAGUUUCUUAUGUUGCUAAUAUGUAGCUAUGCACAUGCUCACAGGGAAAAAUCUGAAAUCAGUCUUAUUGACUUAACAAUGUAGAUCUCCCUCCCAUUAAGUAUAUGGUUCUUCAGUGUACCUUAGUUCUGGAUAAUUAUAAGUAACUUAACAAGGAUUUUAAAAAUUGUUGCUUCCCACUUCAUGACUGCAUUGCUGCCAUUAGUACAACACCUGUGAGCUAAGCAGUAGGGAGGUUGGUUUUUUAAGCCUAGUCUUAUUUUGAUGAGAAAUAGGUUCUCAAGAGAAUCUUCUCUGAAUCCUACUUCCAGGACACUGAUAGGUGUGAGCCAUUAUUGAUUUCCACAGCCUGCCAAGAGUAUAAUUGAGAAGUCUGAGUCUCUUGUCUCAAGAAGCCAAGCUUCUGAUGUAGGCAAAUAAAAGAAACUAUGUUCUGAGUAGCUCAUCAUCAUUAACAACCAUAAGCCUUCCCUGGCUAAUGGCUCUUCACAUGUAAAGUGCCCUGCUGUGGAAUCCAGGGUCUUCAAGUCCCUUGUCCUCAGGUUGUUUCCAGUCUAUGAGAUAAGAAGAACACUAAAAUGGGAAAGAGCGUAGUAAAUGGCAAGCAUCAAGUAAAGCCCAGAAGGGCUAGAAGUUAACCUGAACACAACUCUGUCCUUGCUGCCAAGGCCUGGAGGUUAGCUUGGUGCUGACGCUCCCUGGUUGAGACUUUGAUGUAAAUGGCUCAACAUGUCCUGGCCUCAGGGAUUGGGGUUCCAGUUCUGCUGGGAGAGGGUGGGCAGGGCACCGAAAGUGGUAGACCUGAAGCUGCCUAUGGGAAGCCAGCUGCUUAAACGAAUCUUUGCUUGGCUUGCUGGUCCUUGGCUUUGAUCUGGAGGCACUUUACCAUGAGAGUUCUUCCUAGUCCUCCUGUGUCACUCGUGACAGGCUCCUCCCAGUUUGGUCCAGUUUCAAGGGAAAUGAGCUGUUUGUCCAGUCACCAUCUCUGGGCUGUGUAAACAAGCAGAUAGGCAAUUAGUGGCUGUGUCAGGGCCUUGGACUGCUGCUCUGCUUGCACAAAUGGAGACUCAUCACUCAUCUUUUGGAUUCUUGUCUUGCAAGCAUGAGAUAAUAGGGACAGCUUGGCUUUCGAGAUUUCUUCAUGUUGUUUAGAUUUUAGUCUUCGUGUCACAAUCUUAUUGUUCAAGCAUUUUUGGCAACAGCCACUGCCAUUCAGCUCAUUUGGGAGAAAAAAUUAUAAUUUGGAAUCUGUCGCCUUGAUUUUUUUCACAUUAAACCAUUUUUUAAUGAACAGGAAGUAGGACCAAGGCAUAGAGAUCAGUAGGUAAUAUCUUUCCUUAAUUAGCCAAAUGCUGACAACAGAGGUCACCCAGUUGCAGGGUAUUUUUGCCCUCCCCCUUCAAGGGGACAUGUGUGUUGUGCACACAGGCUGGAGGCCAGGAGAGGACUGAGGCUGCCAUCAGGCCCCACGGCUGCUGCUGUUUGUGUUUACUUGAGCAUUUCACUGCGCCUGGUAUGUUUUCCUCUUGGAUCCAAAAUGCUGAGAGGCUCCCCUCAAAGUGCCAUUUGUCUCCUCUUGAGACACACAGAAAUCAGGCUCCAGUCGCUCAGUACCCAGACUGUUCGGAGCGCAAGGCGAUGGCCCUGUGUUUCCUUUGCUUUUUUUCCAUACGUUGGCAUCACCUCCUCUGAUUGUUUUUCUUCCCUUCUGCUUUUAAUUUUUUCUCUCUUACCUCAGUUUGAGCCUCUGCCUUCUUUCAUAGCUUUCUGUUUUCUCUCAGCAUCUCCUCUGCCCGCUUAUGUUUUUGGUUUCUUGUGACUCGCUCUCCAGAUUCCUUCAUAUUCCGGAAUCACCAUGUCUGGCCAGCAUCGUUGUGAGCAUGCUGCCCUUUUGUGGUUGUCGUUCAUCCCUUUCCCUCUUGCCUUCAUUCCUCCCCAAACCUUCCACCUCUGCCUCCUCAAACCUUUGAAGUUCUUCAGACUGGAACUAUCUCUGGAUCUUGCUGCAUAGAUAAGAUAACAGCACCUGGGAUCCUUUCAGCGUGAGCACUGUGGAAGUGAUCAUCCUUCUCCCAUUUUGCCCUAGGAUGGGCAUUUUUUGUUGGGCAAGGAAUUAACAGAGAGCACAUCCCUCUGUCUGUAACCAAUCACUACUAUUCUUUUUCAGUUGUUUGUUAAGCACAUAUAGUAGAUUACUUAUAAAUAAGACUCUGAGGAAAAAAAAAGAAUGAAUCAGACACGAUUUUAGCCUCAAAGCCCCUAUAUAUCUGACACAAAAUCUUACUCUGCCUUUCAGGAGCAUUAGAUACAGCUGAUCAAGUGAUGGAUUUAAAAACUCCUUGUCUUUGCUUUAGGCCCUACCCUCUUUUGUCUUCUCCCUAUUUCAUGGGUAUUCCUCAAUCUGGAAUUGAGGUUCUGGUUCUUCAUCUUUCCAAUCUCUAAACACAAGUGGGCUUCAGGACUCAAUCCAUGAAGCCCUUGCCUUAGCACUGGGAUUGCUGAGGCACCUAGAAACUUGAGACUUUAUUGAUCAAGCGUAUAAUAAAUAGACUGAGGGAGACUCGGAAAGUUGCUGUUACUGGAGUUGGAUUCACUGCUGCUGCCACCCCCAGUAGCCACCAGAAUCUUUUUGUUGCUGCCACCUCCCAGAUCCCUGCACCAUGCCAUCGGAAAAGACUUUCAAGCCGCACCACACCUCUGAACAAAGAGUAGAUGUCCGACUUACCUGAGAGCAGCAUCCAUGCAAAACCCCAGUGGUAACAGAACAAUACAAGGGGAAGAAGCAACUUCCUGUCCUGGAUAAAAUGAUCUUUCUUAUACCUUACCACAGCAACCUGAGUGAGCUCAUCAAGAUAAUUAGAAAGUGCUUACCACUCAAUGCUAAUCAAACCUUCUUCCUGGUGGUGAACAGACACAGCAUGGUGAGUGUUUUCACACCAAUCUCAGAGGUAUAGGAGAGUGAGAAGGAUGAAGAUAGAUUCCUGUACACGGUCUAUGCCUCCCAGGAGACAUUUGGGUUGAAAUUGUCAGUGUAAAACUAAAAAAAAUGGAUCUAUUCUAGAAUUUUUUAAACCCUUACCAACGGGGGAAAAAAAAUGGGGGAUGUUACCAACUGAGAUCGUUCAGUUCAUCUAAUCACAGAUCAAACAGUAGUGUUCCCACCUACCAGUGUCAGGAAGUUGGGUUUGUAUUUCAGGCAGAAAAACUGGGCUCCCAGCGAGCACAUUCAGCUUUGGAAACAAUAUUAUUUAACAGGCUACCUUCUUUUCAGAUUUUAAAAGUUUAAAAAUAAGAUACUUUGCAUUCUUAAAAAAAAAAGAGUGACUGAGUGACUGUAUGCUCAAGCAAUGGGUGUGUCUUCUUGUUCUUCACCAAGCAAGGGGAAAGUUUUACGUUCAUUUACAUUUAUUUUACAAGUUUGUAAGACAUAUACAACUUAGGGAGAAAAAAUAUGAAGGCCUCAGUUCUAGGGAGAAAGCAUGCAGGCAUUUGUAGUACUAAGACUAAAAGUUAGGGGAGAAAGAGUUGCUCAGGUAAAGCUAAGUUAGAAUAUGAAUUACUGCUACUAUAACUGACACUAAAUAGAACCAGUGAAAAAUGAGAAAAUGUGAACUGUACUAUCCUAAAUAAAUGUAAACUAAAAUAACAAUGUGGGCCAGGUGCAGUGGCUCAUGCCUGUAGUCCCAGGACUUUGUGAGGCUAAGGUGGGAGGAUCACUAGAGGCCAGGAGCUUAAGACAAGCUUGGGCAACAUAGGGAGACCACAUCCUACAAAUUUUUUUUUUUUAAUUAGCUGGGCAUGGUAGCAUGCACCUAUAGUCCCUGGUACAGAGAGGGUGAGGUGGGAUGAAAACUUGAGCCUGGAAGAUUAAGGCUGCCAUGAGCCAUGAUUGUGCCAGUUCACUCUGGCCUGGGUGACAGAGUGAGAACCUGUCUCAAAAAAAAAAAGAACAAUAAGAAAGAUAAUGCAUGAAAACCUCCUUCUUUUUUUCAUGACUUUCAAGCUUCACUUUCUGCCUUCCCACUUUGUACCAGACAGACAUUUACCACUGGGAAUCUUCCUUGUCUGUGUCCCAAGGUCAUCUGAACACCAAAGUUACACUUAAGAAAGGUUGUCAACUCAGAGGAACUGAAAUAGAAUUCCCAUGGAGUUACCCAUAACAUCUAUUUGAAAACAAACCCUUCCAAACCAUCACAUCGUGGAAAUCACAGUCCAUGAUGAGAAAACUGCCAAGUUUUUGAGGUUGCAACUUAGAACACACACCAAAAAAUGUGUCUUCAUCUCCAAGUGUCUUUGGUUUGAAAAUUGGGAUAAUAGAGCAUCUGAUUAAGCUUCCUCAAAGAAUAUCCAGUAUUUUCCCCACUUCCGGUGACAGAAACCUGGUUGGUGGUCUAAGCCAAGAAGAAAAAGAUGUUUCCGUUUGGAAGAGGAAAAAAUCCUAAGUUUAUUUUUUUAGAGCCAUGAUUUAGAAGAAAUAACAAACAAAAUAAGGGAAGCCUCUUAUUUAAAAUCAGUUUUCAUUUUAUCUGGAUAGUCUGCUUUCCCUUGCUCAUGAGUAUCUGUGAUUAUGUGGUCAGGCCUGACAUGUAUCCCAGCCAGGCUGGGUGACAUCCCUGUGCCCUGCCCUCUCCUCCAGCUCUUCCUCAUGGGCUAGCAGCCUUGUGCUUUUAGGAAGAAAGGGACUGAAUUUUCUGCUGUUGCUUCGCUUCCAAACAAACCCAACCUAAUUCAAAUUGACAAAUUCUAACAAAGGUGAUGCCUUCUUUCUGAGUGUGUCUAAAGCCACAAAGCCAACUGCAUGACAGUUUGGGAAUGGCAAAACUUUUAAAAGUUUUUGACAUCAUCAUGUUAGCAUUUUGAAGGGUUUAAAUGAAUAAAAGCCUUAGAGUCCUCUAUGUGGUGAAUAUGAAGCACCCAUUCCCAAAUUAACCGAGGUGAUCAGUGAUGACUAGGGCUUGGCUUCUCCCCUUUAAACAGUGAGUCUGUUUUCAAGAUCAGUUGAACUAAGAAAAAGAUGAAAACGUGUUUGUUCAAAGAAAGGCCGUACCUAGAUCACCUUUAUUUGCUCACUUCUUGAUGAGGCUGCCUUCUCUGGGGUAAAAUGGCUGAAAAUUAUAACGGUGGGAGUAAAAGAGGGAUAUGAGAGGAUGAGUUUCUGCCACAUUUGAAGAACGGAAGAACUAGAUGAAUAGAGUUUGGGUGAUGGCAGUUGGUUUCUUUGUAGGAACUAUUAAUAGUCUUGAUUUAGGCUUGGACUUCUGCUUUUUGUCUUUUGUGUUUUAUCUGUGUUUCUUUCCUCCUUGAGGCAGCUUGAAUUGAAAGCGCAAGGGAACAGCGCUAACAUAUAGGGUGGAAACAUAUUUCUAUGUAAUUAAGGUCUUCCUCAAUUUGCGACUACUGAGGACCAAGGGAGACCAAGUUCUGUUCCACACACCAUGAGAGGAGUGUUGACUAAGAAGAGUUAGGCAGCUUUAUCAGCUUGUUGGUCAAGGGACGUAGGAUCCUGAGAUAGAUCAAAUAUCUUAGUUGAUAUUAACAUAAAUAUAAUUUUUAAUAUUUUUCUGAAGAACCAAAAAGAAGUUUAAGAAAAGAGUUUACCAUCCAAGAGUUUAAUUUGCUCUUCAUCAGAGUAUGACAUGGCAUGCUAGGAUGCAGGAGCAACUAACCCAAGUUGGCGGAAGCAAAUACAACUGCUUUAGAGAUAAAUGCUAGGAGGGUCUGAAAAUCAGAAAAAAGAUGGGAAGGGUCAGGGUGGAGAUGAUAAAGAGUGAUCGUUCUCAAAAUCCUGCUGCAGUGAGAAGUAGCUGCCUUUUAGUGUAAAGUCUGGGUUUGUGGAGGAACCCAAGAGAGUAAGAAUGGAAUCAGCAAAUGCAUAUUUAGAUGAAUAUGCCCACAUUCCUUUGCCCUUUUGAUUCCAGAAGCUGAAAUUAAGGCUUUUAAUAUGUGUAAGCCCUUAGAUCAUUUGCUAAGAGUUUAGGGGAAGAAAAGCAGUUGGUUCAUCUCUGGUAUUUUCAUAUAGAUUUCCUUUAUAGAAGUUACUUAUAAGUGGUGUUUUCAAUGGAGACCUUCAAAAAAAGAUGCUUGGAUGUCUCAUCAGGUUUCAGAGAAAUGUUCAGAUUUGUUAACCCUUUCAACUCAGAUAAAAGUCCAUUAAACCAUGAAACAAAGUUCAUUACACUUUUUGGCCAGGGACAUGAGUGACAAACUGCUCCCUGGGACAUUGCUCAUCUCUUGUAUGGACUAAUUUCAGGACUUAUUAGAUGAAGGCAAGUCAGAAGGCUCACUUCCUCUGUGCUUGGAUUCUGGAGAUGUUUUGAUGCUAGUUGGCCUUUUGUGGAUCUUCUCCCUUAUCAAUAGAGGAUACACCCCAUUUCUCCAGAUGAGUGCCUUAUGAAACAGCUGUUGUUUCAUAAGACAUUCCCUUAACCCAAGGCCUUUCCUCCUUAUCAGUUACACUAAUUGAAGACCAAAACCAUUUUCACCCCUCAUUAUGUCUUUUCUACUUAUCCUCUUAAGAAAAGAAUUACAGAUUGGGAUACUCUAGAAGUGGUAGCAGUUAUUAGAGGAAUGACAUCCUAAAAUAUGACCAUCAGAGACAAGAAGAAAUUAGAAAGCUAGCAUGCAAUGGGCAUUUAAUAAACAACUGCAGGGGAGUGAUGGUGGAAGAGAAGAGCAGAGCAGGGGAGGAGGAGAGAGAGGAAGAGUUGUAAAGUGGGGAAUAGGAGCUAACACUGUAGAAGGAGGACAAAACUGGGGCCAAAAAGUCUAUCCCUGGCUUUUCUCCCAUUGACAAAUAUAAGACUGAUGUUUACCCCACCUCCCACUUCUCACAUAAAAACAUUAGAAAGCAACAUAUUUAGAUAACCCAAGGUCAUAAAGGAGAGUUGAAAUAGAAGCUUCAGCAAAUAGACCCCACAUCAGACCUUGAAUCAUCAUCAAUUCCAAACACUACCUGAGUCUUCAUCUCAAAAAGCUCUUCCCUCUGCUUUGAAAAGACUCAAAGCAUCAUCUCAACAGCCAAUACAUUGAAACCCCUCUCCACACUGAAGCCAUAGAAGAACAAUAGUUCUUUUGCAAAUUAUAGCUUCCUCAGAAGAAAUGUUGAGGCAGGCAUGUAUUAUUUUAUUUUAUAAACCACAAAGAGGCAAACAACCCCUUAACUUGGAAUUCAGAGUUAACAAAAGCAUUAAAUCCACUGGGCUUUGAGAGGGGGCAAUAGUUUUUCAUAUGUCUUCUCUGCUACCAUUAUUUACAUAACAAAUCACUGCAAAAUGCAUUCAUGUCAGAUGUUGGAAAUAAGCUCUUUGGGGCAUAGAUAUUUUUAAACAACCCAUAGUUAUAGGGAUGUUUUAAAAACAUGCAAAGCCUGAGUUUGUGUUUCAAAUCAUAAGUAGUCACAGGAACUCUAUAUUGUUGGUUUGGUGCUGACCUAUGGAACAGAGUCUGAAGUCCCUCAGAAGUGAUGACGUUGUAAAAAGAUACAAAAGUUCACCUUGGCUUUAGAUUAAAGCCCUGUCUUUCAAGGCAGGUACACAGAAAUCCCUGGUGCCAGUUUUUACCUACACUUUGGAGAGCAUUGAACUUUCCUUGCAAAUAUGCAAAAUACUUCCCCACCAAAAGAUUUUAUUUACUGACACCGGAAACAAGCAUCCCCUCCCCACCCACAUUCUUCAUCCUUAAGAAUCAGAAGUUAGUAUUUUAAAAAAAAAAAAAAAAAAAAGGCUGCAUUCUUUGAGAUUAUUUGCAUGAGCGGAUUAUUUGCAUCAGUCUCUGAGAGGUUAUCUUCAUAGUCUCUAGUCUACUUGUCCAAGCUUACUGAUCCCACAAAAUAUUUUUCCUGCAGUCUAGGGAGUCUUGUGAUUGCCUCCAUGGACCUAUGCAAUACCAGCCUCCUCAUCCCACGCACACUUUCCUCCUCUGCAGCCACUGCAAGCCCCGGCUCCUGGGGCUCCUUGAGCUUGGAUUGCCAGCUCCACUUCCCGUGUUCUAGGCAAGCAACAAAUACCCUUUAAAACCGCCAUCAAGCCCCACCUGUUUUAUAAAAACUUCCCAAGCUUCCAUGACAUUUAUGCUAUAUUAUUAACAACAGUGUUAGCUGGGUGCCUGUAGUUCCAGCUACUUGGGAACCUAAAGCAGGAGAAUCACUUGAAUCCAGGAGCUGGAGGUAGCACCAUUGCACUCCAGCCUGGGUGAUGUAGUGAGACCUUGUCUCAAAAAAAAAAAAAAAAGGAAAAAUAGUCUCAGCUAACAUUUAUUUAAUAUUCUCAGCCAAGUUUGAUAUUAAGUAGUAUCUCGUUUCUCAUUAAAAAAAAAACCUUGAGGAAAGCACUAUUAUUAUCUCCAUUUCACGAAGGAUGGGAGAAAAUUGAACUCAGAUGGGCUAGAUCUAUGUGAUUUAAAGUACGACCUCAAUGAAGUCAGGUUAAGAAUCCGGCAUGGGGGUUUGAUGGCGUGGACUAGAGUGGUUGAGUAAGGGGAGGGAGGUGAUAGAGGUGAGAAGUAUUUAGAAGGUACAACGCACUAGACUUCUUGGUGGCUUAGAUCCUGCCUUCCAGAUCUGAAAGGUUACACCUAAUGCUGUCUUUAGAUGUUAUUUGCACUACCUGAGUACUCUGGGGCCCUGGCUGCUCUUACCCCUAAAUGAUCUCCACCUUCUUUCAUAUCUGACUUCAUAUGACAGUGUCUCCUCAGACAAGGGGGGCUUUUCUUACAUAUACUCCUGGGAAAAUUAGGUUUCCACUCUUAAUAUAACUUCUUUUUUUGUUACCUCUGUGGCACUUCUCUCAGUUUUUAAAUAUUUAAGAAAUUACUUAGCUGAUAAGAAAGGGAAGGUGUGUCUAUUCAUUUACUUUAUUAAUAGUAUUCUCCUUACUUGGUUUGCAGUGGUGCUCAGUGAAAAACAGGUUGAAUUUGUCCAAAAACAGACGGGAGAAUUUAAAGGAGUUCCUCCUCAUUUAGAUUCUAAAUGGAAUGAAAUUCCAUCAUAAAUGGAGAUUCAUCUAGAGGUGAAAACAGGAUUUAAACAGGAGAAUUAAAUUAUUUCAACCACUGUCUCAUCAAAACAACAACUCCAAAAAUGUGAUCUGGAGGGAAAAACAAUCAACAAACUAAUGAAUAGAAGACAGUGAGUCAGGGGUGGCUCCCUUAUAAUAAGGGCGAUUAUUUUUUAAACUCUGUCUUUAUCUAAUGGUCAGUGGCACUCAGUUAAAUGGCCAGACACAAGAAUCAGAAGAUUUGAAUCUCUUGUCACUUGUUAAUCCAUAUCCAUAACUUUAUUUACUUUUUUUAUACUUUAUGUUUGGUCUUUGGCCUUCCAGAUCCCCCAAAUUUUGGAUAACCUGCAUGUGAGAUGAUCCUGUAUUACAACUCAGAGAAGUGAAUUUCCCUUCACUAGUCCAUUUGCUUUUAAAAAUGAAGAAGACAUUAAAAAUGAGUUGCAGAUAAAUGUAAUGCAUAUUUAGUUAUUUUGCUUUCUCAGUCAGCAUAAGGUCUCUACAUAAUGACAAAAUUUCCAUUCAGUACCUCCUAACUCUGCCACUUCGGAGAAAUGUGUCCCCCUUCAUUUCUAUGUGGGUAUUUGUCUAAAUCUUGUCUUUCUUCCCACCACUGAGGUCUCACACCUUAGAGAGUUCUAUAUAGAUAUACAACAUGGUUAUAUAUGCCCGCAACAAAAUAGUUGUAACUAUUUUCAUCACUCACGAAUCUUGGCCUUUUAACAGAUAAAAGAGUGAUUUCAUGGAUUGGCGGGAGUCAGAAUCAUUGCUUUUGUAUGCUGAGACAAUAUGUCCAGUCUAUAUCAAUGCCAAAUAAGGUAUCUUGGAAUGUUAUUGCAUACAUAUGCUUUCAGUUCAUGCAAUAUAGACACAGAGAACCAAUUUUAGGAAACUGGUCUCAAAGGAAGGCAUGGGUUGUUGAUUUGAUGCCCACCAUUCUACUCCAGCAGCCAAAUAUGGAACUCUUAAUAUUAAUGUAAAUGUAAAUUGGAGGAAAUUUCAGUCUUUGAAAACUAUCCUUCACCCCGCUAUCCUGGGGCCUGUGUUAUUCACCAGCUAGAAACACUAGCAGCUGGGAGUAGAAGAUGGCUUGCCUUGACCUCCUGGUUGCAUCUAAAUAGCUGUAAGUUUGACAGAACUUUUGCCAGAGCGUGUGUUUUUAACAUAGUAAGAAUUGGUCUCAUAAAUUGUUGUGUCAUCUUAGAUAUUGCAUGACAAAUUUUUGUUAUUGGGUAUUUGCCUAGUUAUAUCGAUAUUAACUAGAGUAGACCUUGUGGAAGCAGAGAAGGCAGUUUUGCUUCACUUUGGCUGGAGUUUUGCUACCCAAUUGGAGUUCUUACGCAUUGCAUUUUGAAUCUGUGACCAAGCCUGCCCUUGCUCCAAGUAAGCAAAUGUUAGCAUUCUUGCCAUCCACCAGUGUCUUUCCUCUAUGGGAUUACAAAACAUUUUGUGUAUAGCACAUGUAUAAAGAUGCCAGCAGAUAAAGAGUUUUGCCUUAGGUCAUCUACCAGGUAAUACUAUAUCUUACCUACUGAUCUCCCUGUUCACGGAGAAGAAUUUUGAAAUCCUUAAGUAAAAGACAUUGAAACUACUAAUGUGUUCUUUUGCUGUAUCCAUAUUUCUAGUAGUCAGAAUGCAUGCUUUCUAUUCCCAGUAAUUUUAUUACGUUACUAAAAAAUUAUGAUUUGUUUACGAGGGAACACGAGCCAAGUGGUAUGGCUAAAUCACUCCUUUUGUCUGAGUCGUGACAAUAUUUUCACCAUAAAUGUUUAUCUUUCAUCCUCAGGGGAGAUAAGUAUCCUCUUUUUUGAAUCAUCCUCUACAGAGUGCCAUAGAUGCAAAGCAGUACUGUUAUCCAAAUUGUUAGCUCUUACAGACAAGCUAGACUCUAUUCACUGUUACAAAAACCUAGUGAGAAAAAACAAUGCCACAUGAUAAAGAAUUAUAAAAUCAUUUUAAUUAGCUCCAUUAAUUAGGAAAAUGGAAUUUCUCUUUGUGUGACUUUGAGUAAUUAGAAUUUACCAAAUUUAGAAGAAAUUCAGACUUUCUGCACUAUAGAAAGGAUGAACCAUAUUGAGCUUAUCAUUCUGCAUCGUAAUUUUUAAUAUCUAUUCAUGCUGAUACAUAUGGAUCUAAUUACUUUUUUUUUGAGACAGAAUCUCACUCUGUCAUCCAGGCUGGAGUGCCGUGGUGCAAUCUCAGCUCACUGCAACAUCCAUCUCCUGUGUUCAAGCAAUUCUCCUGCUUCUGCCUCCCACGUAGCUGGGAUUACAGGUGCCUGGCACCAUGCCUGGCUAAUUUUUGUGUUUUACUAUGUUGGCAAAGCUGGUCUCAAACUCCCGACCUCAAGUGAUCUGCCCGCCUCAGCCUCUCAAAGAACUGGGAUUACAAGCGUGAGCCACCGCACCCGGCCUGGAUCUAAUUACUUUUAACCACUAUGAGUUAUCCAGUUGUGGGAAUAAGCCAAGCUUUUCUUUAUCUACCUCUUUCUCUUCCUGCUCUUAAGUUAGUCACAUCAUUUUGGACCUCUACUAUAAAGGAGAGCCAGCAAUCUGUGUAGGCUUUCUUCUUCAUUAGAUUGUUAAAAAGAUGAACAAGACAAUAAUGUGAAAUAAUUAGAAUUCUUCUGUUAGAAGGUGCUACAAACAUGAAAGCUAAUGCUAUUUUCUUAUAUGUUAUGAUUUCCAUCUAAAAGGACAGGAUUCCGUUAUCAUUUUUUGUUUUAUUUAAAUGAAUAGUAGGUAAGAAUUCAUUUGUUAAAGUGAUAGGAAUGUCAAAUUAGACAAAUGUGAUUAGCUGGGCAUUAACGCCACAAACUCAGCCCAAGAUAAUGUUGCCAAGACCCAAAGACCAUCACGUUGUUGCUCAUAAAUGACAGUUUAAGCUGGUGAGUGGCUGAGGUCCAGCAUUCUCCUUGGUUCCUAGAUGGACAAUAAAGCUGCUUCGACCAUAAUUUUCCAUCUUUCUUCUUGGAAAGAGUGACUGGAAGCCACUCAGUAAAGUGAACCUUGGAAAUAAGACUUCUGUCUCACACCAUCUGUUCAUGAAAGGGAGCUAUAAAAAUAAACACAUAGGCAGAAGCUAAUGGAGACGUGGCAACAGGCCUGAAGAAAUGCCAUCCCUGGAUCCCCUCCUCUAAUACUCUUUUAGUUCUACUUAGUUUCAGAACACAGUGAAUGCAUCAGUUGUAGGCAAAUGUGUUUGUUUUAUGAGCUUGUUUAUCUGGAAGGUAGCUGAAGGAGGUAAGAAUGAGAGCGGCUUUGGAAAGAGCCAGCACUAGGAAAACGGGGAAACACAUAGCAUCUUAGCUGUGGAAAUGCUAUUCUGUUAUCUGGAAGCCACCUGGAAUAUUGUAAUAUUGUGGGAUCACCUAGUGUUCUAAUAGAAGGUGGGUCUCUCUUAGUUCCUACAUAAAAACUCCAAAGUAAACUCCUAGGUGGGUGUGACUUAAGAAUGGAGCAAAGCAUUAGCAUUAAAUGGCAAGCAGUCUGGAUUGAACAUAGAUGUAGAGAGACUCCCUUGUUUUUAAUCACUGCUUUCCUGGUUUCUCAUUAAAUUGGUCUGCGCUUCCCUGGGAUCCUUUGAUUGUAUUUCUGCUCUCUUUUCACUAAAUCUUCCUUUAAUUUCCUUUGGUUUGAUCUGAUGACAUUAACUCUUUCCCUCAGUUUCUUGGCAUACCCUUUCGGCUUGUUUCCUCUUUCUUAAAUCUCAGGGCAACAUUUUUCACUCAGGGAAUUCAGUGUCAGUGUCUUUCACAACACCUUUGCUGCUGGCCUGUAGCCUCUCAGGCUGCACUAAGCAGGGCCCUGGGGAGUCUUCCACUCUCCUUGGAAAGCUGCUUCUCUGUGGGCUGUGGAACACUUGACCUCAUUUGUCUCCCCACCACCCUUGUGAAAGAAGCAGCCGUUAGGCCCUCUUGACAUAUGUGGGAAGCAGUAUUCUGAGAGACACUCCAGGGACCACACUGCUAAGUCAGUGAUAGAUUUCGACAUCCAGAGGGAGGGUCAGCUCCCUUGAGUCCCACUUUGAAUGAUUUCUAACUACUAUUCCCAUCAUUCAAGUUUUGUUAUCCAAACAGACCCUAUAUGAAAUUGGCUGUUAUUAUUAGCAAUGCUGUUGUUGUUUGACCUCUCAAAACUACUUACUCUAAACAACAUCUCCCACAGUGAUUUUAUAUGUGAUGUCUAAUACAAUUAGGGAAAAAGGUUACUGAGUACCUAACUUAACCAUUCAUUGUUUACGAGUAGUCCCACAGUGUGUCAGAUAUUGUGCUGAGCAGACAAGAGAUGGUCUUCUGGCUUAAAGAUCUCACAACGUAGUCAGGAGAGUCAGUCCUAAACAGAUGACUUUGUAAUAGGGGAACUACAGUGAAAAGGAUAAUAGAGAAAUUCAGCCCAUUUUUGAGAGCCUACAGUGUGUCAGGUACUGUGCGAAGCACAGUUUAUAUAGUCAUAAACAGGACAGAUAAACUUUUAAUUAGCAAGAGCAAGAGACAAAAGAGCAAAUAAGUAACCCAUUGUAUAAUUACAAAUUGUGGAAAGUUUAGGUUUGGCUGAAGAGGGCUGCUAUUAAGAAACCUACUUUAAAAGAGUAGGGAGAGUAGAGCAGUGAUGACUUUUAAGUCUGGGAAGGAGCCAGUUACAUGAAGCACAGAAGAAAAACAUCGUAAGCAGAAAGAACACUGACUGGCAGCCCUGAGGCAGCUGACAGCUUGGCAUACUGAGAGAUUAAGAUGAGCAAAUACAACUGGAAGUAGGGCAAGCCACCUAGGGAGGGUCCUGAAGAUAAUGAGACAGAAUUUGGAUUUUAUUCCACAGGGAGCCUUAAAAGAAUUUGUAAAAUGAAAGUAACCUAACUACAUUCAUGUUUUAAAAGGUUAUCCUGGUUGCUGUGUAGACAAAUAAAUGCAAAGGGGCAAGAGUAGAUAAGGAAGUUAUUGAAGUAGUUCAGGUGGAAAAUGAGCAUCUUGGACCAGGCUGGUGGAAAUUGAUAUGGAAAAGUAUAGGUGAAUUCAAGACUAUUUUUCAAAUAGAAAAGACAGGAAUUGGAUUUAAACAUAGGAGUUGUGCUAAAGGAGGAGCCAAAAAAUAAUUCCCAGGUUUUGAUCAUCUUAGUGAAUGCCGAUGCCAUUUACUGAGGUGACUAAGACAAUGAAAGGAACAAGUUUGUGUUAUUAUGGGGAAAUCAGGAAAUAAUUUGAAUUCCCAGACAGGUGUUUAUGUCAGAAUAUCCAGCAGGACAGAAAAAAUGCAAAUUUGAUAUUGAGAAUAUAAUUUGGAGUUGAUUAUAUAGAUUUGAGAUUUAUCAGCAGAACAAGAGUAGCUGAAUUUAUAGCUAAUUAUAAAAGAGAGGGUUGGGCACAGUGCCUCACCCCUGUGGUCCCAGCUACUCAGGAGGCUGAGUUGGGAGGAUCGCUUGAGCCUAGGAAUUGAAGGCUGCAGUGAGCCUUGAUUGUACCACUGUGCUCCAGCCUGGGUGACAGAGUGAGAUCCUGUCUCUUAAAAGAUAGAAAAGAGUAGAGAGAGAUUGCUCAAGAGAGCCAGAGCGCCUUGGAGUCUGAAUAUAUUUAGGAGAAAGAAGAAGAGCCAGUGGAGGAAACAGAGCAAGUAAUCAGAAUGGUUAAGAUAAUUGACCAGUGUUGAACAUGAAUCUACCUGACUUGCCACUGAUAAGUAUUUUUUUCUUUCAAAUAAAAUUUUAAAAUACUGUUUCUGAAAAUAUUAAAAAAACUAUCAAGCAUUACCUAUGUGUAAUCUGUCAAACUUAUGUGGACAUUUAUCCACUCUGAGAUAAGCAUGGACUAAGAGGACUUUGUAAGAAUCUGAGCCUCUGAAAACCAUGGCUGGGCUCCACAAUGCAGCCCAGGUGGAACUUGGCUUUCAUGGUGUGAAGGAAAUGAGACAUGUUUUUUAAAUGAUGCUCAUGGUUAUUAAAUAACAUGAUUACUAGUAAUGUGAGCAAAGAUUUUUAAAAAUUACUUUCCCACCUAUCCCCUCCCACAGGGGGACACUACAGUAUCUGUUGUUGAUGGUAUUGCUGCCAUCCCCAAGUCCAUGUUUCAACUGUGUGUGGCUUCCAGCACUUCAAUGAAAUCUUAUUUAGUCACAGAUGCCAUUUUAUAGAACUGUAAAGAAGGGAGCACAUGGCUUUUGACAGGGAUACACUGUUCCAAAUUGGCCUUCCCUAUUUUUGCAGUAAGAUAUUACAGCUCCAGGCUUCAUGCUUUCCCCCUUAUAAGUUCAGAGAAGCCCAUUCUGUGAAGAAUACUUUUCGAAUAUGAAAGUUACCCAUAAAGCAUUCUGGACCAUGGGUGUGACCAGAUCUCCAACAUGAGUUGGAAUAGGUUUCAGGGGCUUUGUUCCCACAUAGUACCUUUAAAAUAGGUAUUUUAAAAAUGUUAUUAUACCACCAUGUCAUUAUUUAUGAUAAUAGUAAAAUUGCUAUUUUGGCUUUUGUUUGUUUUAAAGUCUAAAAAAUGCUCAAAACAUGUAAGAACUAUCUUAUAGAAUCUAUGGGAGAAGAAACUUAAAACUUUGAAUUUUAAAAUUUAAGCAGUUUUCUUGGAAUGACAGCAUUUGUGUGAAUUUUCUUAUUCUGCAGAGAUGACUUCUUUGGGCAUACCUUGGUGUAGGCAAUAACAACAGAAACUGUCUGUCUCUGAGAUAGGCCAUGAAUGGGCUCUUGGGUGGCAGAGACAGAGCAGUGCCUUGGGUAGUUAGCGGUAUUUCAGGAUACGAAUGAGUACCCUGCCUUGUAGAACAUUCUGCCCUCCUCUAUUCUUCCCAAAAUAGGUAGAAUAGCUCUUGUACCCAAUGGUGAGACUCAACUAUAAAGACUGGUUCACUAUCCAGAAUCAACAACUGAGGAGAGCCAAAAAACUCAACAAACAGGAGAACUUACACCUGAGAAAACACGCUUGCAGAGAGAUCAGAUUUUCAGAACAUGUGUGUUUUCUAAUCUCAGAACUAUAAGAUAGUCACCUUCAUAAAAAAAAUCCAGUGGAGAAUAUAGAAAUUAAAAUUUGAAUUGAUGAAAUGUUUUUUAAAAGAGAGUAAGAAGUAAAGAAAUAACGCAAGAUUACUUCCCAGAAAUGAAAAGACUUGCAUCUUUUAUUUAAAGUGCCAACAAAGACAAUGAAAAAUAAAUGCACACAUAUAGACACCCUUAAUUCUUUGUAACUAACCUUGAGAAAUCAAGGAGUUAGAAAAAUACUGAGAUAGACAACAAACUAAUCAGCAGCAACACUGGAUACAGGA